UACGUAGGGUGCAAGCGUUAAUCGGAAUUACUGGGCGUAAAGCGUGCGCAGGCGGCUUUGCAAGACAGAUGUGAAAUCCCUCGGCUCAACCGGGGAAUGGCGUCUGAUACUGGAUGGCUUGAGUUCGGGAGAGGGAUGCGGAAUUCCAGGUGUAGCGGUGAAAUGCGUAGAUAUCAGUCGGAACACCGGUGGCGAAGGCGGCUUCUUGGGCCGUUCCUGACGCUGAGGCGCGAAAGCCAGGGGAGCGAACGGG
rnacentral:rRNA from 1 species